AUGGCGCCGCUUCCCAGCCUGCCUCUCGCCGGCCGCGGCCCCGCCCCUAGAGGUCUGGACCACCCUCAGCCACGCCCCCUCUGUCUUUGGGUCCCGGGAGGCUCCGGGGCCCCGCCCACAGGCUCAGGGAUUUUGGUGUACCGUUGGUUCGAAGGAGCAUUUGGUGCCCUCCUUUGGCCGCGUCGCUGGGCUGCGCCGCCGGAGCCCGGACGCGCCCCAGCUGCCCUCGCCGCCUCCAUCCCCGCUGCCCUCGCCGCCUCCAUCCCCGCUGCCCUCGCCGCCUCCAUCCCCGCUGCCCUCGCCGCCUCCAACCCCGCUGCCCUCCCCGCCUCCAUCCCCGCGGCCUCUGCUCCCCUCGCGGUCUGCGCGCACACCGUGACGAAGAACGAGAAGUCCCUCAACCAGAGCCUCGCCCAGUGGAAGCUCUUCGUAUACAACCUGACCACCGGAGAAUUCCUGGGGCGCACCGCCAGCAGCUGGGGUUUGAUCUUGCUCUUCUACCUAGUUUUUUAUGGGUUCCUGGCUGCACUCUUCUCAUUCACGAUGUGGGUUAUGCUUCAGACUCUCAACGAUGAGGUUCCAAAAUACCGUGACCAGAUUCCUAGCCCAGGACUUAACGGUUUUUCCAAAACCAGUGACUGCAUUGGAAUAUACAUUCAGUAGGUCUGAUCCAACUUCGUAGGCAGGGUACAUUGAAGACCUUAAGAAGUUUCUAAAACCAUAUACUUUAGAAGAACAGAAGAACCUCACAGUCUGUCCUGAUGGAGCACUUUCUGAACAGAAAGGUCCAGUUUAUGUUGCAUGUCAGUUUCCUAUUUCGUUACUUCAAGCAUGCAGUGGUAUGAAUGAUCCUGAUUUUGGCUAUUCUCAAGGAAACUCUUGUAUUCUUGUGAAAAUGAACAGAAUAAUUGGAUUAAAGCCUGAAGGAGUGCCAAGGAUACAGUGUGUUUCGAAGAAUGAAAAUAUGCCAAAUGUAGCAUUUUAUCCUCAUAAUGGAAUUAUAGACUUAAAAUAUUUCCCAUAUUAUGGGAAAAAACUGCAUGUGGGGUAUCUACAGCCAUUGGUUACUGUUCAGGUCAGCUUUGCUCCUAACGAUACUGGGAAAGAAGUAACAGUUGAGGGCAAGAUUGAUGGAUGAGCCAACCUAAAAAGUCAGGAUGAUCGUGACAAGUUUUUGGGAUGAGCUAUGUUCAAAAUCACAGCAUGUGCAUAG